AACGAACGCUGGCGGCAGGCUUAACACAUGCAAGUCGAACGCCCCGCAAGGGGAGUGGCAGACGGGUGAGUACCGCGUGGAAACAUACCCUUUUCUACGGAAUAGCUCUGGGAAACUGGAAUUAAUACCGUAUACGCCCUACGGGGGAAAGAUUUAUCGGGGAAGGAUUGGCCCGCGUUGGAUUAGCUAGUUGGUGGGGUAAAGGCCUACCAAGGCGACGAUCCAUAGCUGGUCUGAGAGGAUGAUCAGCCACAUUGGGACUGAGACACGGCCCAAACUCCUACGGGAGGCAGCAGUGGGGAAUAUUGGACAAUGGGCGCAAGCCUGAUCCAGCCAUGCCGCGUGAGUGAUGAAGGCCUUAGGGUUGUAAAGCUCUUUCACCGAUGAAGAUAAUGACGGUAGUCGGAGAAGAAGCCCCGGCUAACUUCGUG
rnacentral:rRNA from 1 species